UAGGGAAUCUUCGGCAAUGGACGAAAGUCUGACCGAGCAACGCCGCGUGAGUGAAGAAGGUCUUCGGAUCGUAAAACUCUGUUGUUAGAGAAGAACAAGGACGUUAGUAACUGAACGUCCCCUGACGGUAUCUAACCAGAAAGCCACGGCUAACUACGUGCCAGCAGCCGCGGUAAUACGUAGGUGGCAAGCGUUGUCCGGAUUUAUUGGGCGUAAAGCGAGCGAAGGCGGUUUCUUAAGUCUGAUGUGAAAGCCCCCGGCUCAACCGGGGAGGGUCAUUGGAAACUGGGAGCCUUGAGUGCAGAAGAGGAGAGGGGAAUUCCAUGUGUGGCGGUGAAGUGCGUGGAUAUAUGGAGGAACCCCAGUGGCGAAGGCGGCUCUCUGGUCUGUAACUGACGCUGGGGCUCGAAAGCGUGGGGAGCAAACGGG
rnacentral:rRNA from 1 species